AGGAUUAACGCUGGCGGCGUGCCUAACACAUGCAAGUCGAACGAGGUAGCAAUACCUAGUGGCAGACGGGUGAGUAACGCGUGGUCAACCUACCGUUGAGUGGGGGAUAACUAGCCGAAAGGUUAGCUAAUACCGCAUACGAGUCUCGGGGGCAUCCCUGGGCCUUAAAAGGAGCAAUCCGCUCGAUGACGGGACCGCGUCCCAUUAGCUAGAUGGUGGGGUAACGGCCUACCAUGGCACCGAUGGGUAGCUGGUUUGAGAGAGCGACCAGCCACACUGGGACUGAGAAACGGCCCAGACUCCUACGGGAGGCAGCAGUGAGGAAUUUUCCGCAAUGGGCGAAAGCCUGACGGAGCGACGCCGCGUGUGGGAAGAAGGCCUUCGGGUCGUAAACCACUGUCGAAGGGGACGAUAAUGACGGUACCUUGGAGGAAGCCCCGGCUAACUACGUGCCAGAGCCGC
rnacentral:rRNA from 1 species